UUUAUCAUUGGAUUUAGAUGCAGAUAUCACUGUCUUGGAAAAUUGGUCAGAGCAAUUUGGCAUUGAGUUUGAUUAGUAAACUUGACAGUAUUUACACUCUUAAUCUUCUUAGGAAUUAUAUGAUGUCCACACAAGGCGUACCACUGUUCUCCAUGCCCUUCCUGUCUAUCUACGUGAGGAAUCCUCUGGAUUUUUGAGGACAUGUGUGGGCAUGCUCAGUUGAAGUUUCCAUCUCUGCGCGUUCAAGAUGUAAGAAAAAUAACACGAAAGAAAUGCAACAAUGAAAACUUCAAAAAGGCAUCAACAACCAAGCAAGUGGAUCCAUAAAAUGGACUGAUUUUUUUAAAGGCAUUUUUAAAAAGUCUUUCAAAAUGGACAGAAUUAACGCGUCAUGUUCAGAACAGUUUGCGUUCUCAUCUUUGAUUAAUCCUGGUAAACAGGUCUGUUUUUGUUCUGUUCUAAUUCUCUCUGUUUAAUAAAUUUAAACAAAAUGA